GGAAGGAUCAUUCACACGUUGAAAUCCAAAUCUAGUGAACCCUACCUGUUGUUUCUGUGCGCAAGCACUUUCAUCACCUAUUCUGUUGUUAAAACCAAAAACUUUAACAACUUUUAGCGAUGGAUGUCUUGGCUCCCACCUCGAUGAAGGACGCAGCGAAAUGCGAUACGCAAUGUGAAUUGCAGAAUUCAGUGAAUCAUUAGACUGCUGAACGCAUACUGCACUCGUGGGAUAUGCCUGCGAGUAUGCCUGCCUCAGUGUCUCCGAAUCCUCCUAAUACAAUCUUCCUGAUCAUUCUUUCGAGAAUGAGCUCGUAAGGCUGUAUUGUUAUCAGCGUUACGACUUCGUAUCGCUGCAAGUACUUGUCUGUUCAGCUUUAAGCAAUGUAGUGUAACACACAACCAUUGUUUUGAGUUGAAAUAACAGACCAAGCAACUUUCUAAACAAGACCUGAGAUCAGACAAGAUUACCCGCUGAAUUUAAGCAUAUAAUUAAGCGGAGGAAAAGAAACUAACCAGGAUUCCCUUAGUAAUGGCGAAUGAACAGGGAAGAGCUCAAAAUGAAAAUCAGGGGCAUCAGCUUCUGAAUUGUAGUCUCUAGAGACGUCACCAGUGGAGUCGCAGGGAUAAGUCUCUUGGAAAAGAGCAUCAGAGAGGGUGAGAAUCCCGUUCUUGCUCUGCAGAACUCCACGUACGGUGCGUUUUCAACGAGUCGCGUUCCUUGGGACUGGAGCGCUAAGUGGGUGGUAAAUUUCAUCUAAAGCUAAAUAUUUGUGGGAGACCGAUAGCGAACAAGUACCGUGAGGGAAAGAUGAAAAGGACUUUGAAAAGAGAGUUAAAAGUGCCUGAAAUCGCUAAAAGGGAA
rnacentral:misc_RNA from 1 species